GUCCCUGUAGCGCAAUGGGUGGCGCGUUGGACUUCUAAUCCAAAUUUCAUGGGUUCGAAUCCCACCUAGGAUA
rnacentral:tRNA from 1 species